rnacentral:rRNA from 1 species
UGAUUAAGCCAUGCAAGUCGAGAGGGUUCGGCCCUCGGCGUACUGCUCAGUAACACGUGGAUAACCUGACCUAAGGAAGGGGAUAACUCCGGGAAACUGGGGAUAAUACCCUAUAGGUUACGGGUGCUGGAAUGCCCUGUAACCGAAAGUUCCGACGCCUUAGGAUGGAUCUGCGGCCGAUUAGGUUGUUGUCGGGGUAAUGGCCCAACAAGCCAGUGAUCGGUACGGGUUGUGGGAGCAAGAGCCCGGAGUUGGAUUCUGAGACACGAAUCCAGGCCCUACGGGGCGCAGCAGGCGCGAAAACUUUACAAUGCGGGCAACCGUGAUAAGGGAACCUCGAGUGCCUGUAUAUGCAGGCUGUCCAGGUGUCUAAAACACACCUGAAGAAAGGGCCGGGCAAGACCGGUGCCAGCCGCCGCGGUAAUACCGGCGGCUCGAGUGGUGGCCACUUUUAUUGGGCUUAAAGCGUUCGUAGCUGGGUUGUUAAGUCUCUUGGGAAAUCCGGCAGCUUAACUGUCGGGCGUCUAAGGGAUACUGGUAAUCUUGGAACCGGGAGAGGUGAGGGGUACUUCGGGGGUAGGAGUGAAAUCCUGUAAUCCUCGAGGGACCACCUGUGGCGAAGGCGCCUCACCAGAACGGCUUCGACAGUGAGGGACGAAAGCUGGGGGAGCAAACCGGAUUAGAUACCCGGGUAGUCCCAGCCGUAAACGAUGCGCGUUAGGUGUAUCGGUGACCACGAGUCACCGAGGUGCCGAAGGGAAACCGUGAAACGUGCCGCCUGGGAAGUACGGUCGCAAGGCUGAAACUUAAAGGAAUUGGCGGGGGAGCA